rnacentral:rRNA from 1 species
UACGUAGGGUGCAAGCGUUAAUCGGAAUUACUGGGCGUAAAGCGUGCGCAGGCGGUUGUGCAAGACAGAUGUGAAUUCCCCGGGCUCAACCUGGGAACUGCAUUUGUGACUGCACGGCUAGAGUGUGUCAGAGGGGGGUAGAAUUCCACGUGUAGCAGUGAAAUGCGUAGAUAUGUGGAGGAAUACCGAUGGCGAAGGCAGCCCCCUGGGAUAACACUGACGCUCAUGCACGAAAGCGUGGGGAGCAAACAGG